GACGAACGCUGGCGGCGUGCUUAACACAUGCAAGUCGAACGGAAAGGCCCUGCUUUCGUGGUGUGCUCGAGUGGCGAACGGGUGAGUAACACGUGAGUAACCUGCCCUUGACUUUGGGAUAACUUCAGGAAACUGGGGCUAAUACCGGAUAGGAGCUCCUGCUGCAUGGUGGGGGUUGGAAAGUCUCGGCGGUUGGGGAUGGACUCGCGGCUUACCAGCUUGUUGGUGGGGUAGUGGCUUACCAAGGCUUUGACGGGUAGCCGGCCUGAGAGGGUGAACGGCGACAAUGGGACUGAGAGACGGCCCAGACUCGUACGGGAGACAGCAGUGGGGAGUAUUGCACAAUGGGCGGAAGCCGGAUGAAGAAACGCCGCGUGCGGGAUGACGGCCUUCGGGUUGUGAACAGCUUUAGCCUGUGACGAAGCGGGAGUGACGGUAAUGGGUAAAGAAGCACCGGCUAACUACGUG
rnacentral:rRNA from 1 species